GACGAACGCUGGCGGCGUGCCUAAUACAUGCAGGUGGGACGCAAGGGAACACACUGUGCUUGCACACCGUGUUUUCUUGAGUCGCGAACGGGUGAGUAACGCGUAGGUAACCUGCCUAUUAGCGGGGGAUAACUAUUGGAAACGAUAGCUAAUACCGCAUAAUAUUAAUUAUUGCAUGAUAAUUGAUUGAAAGAUGCAAGCGCAUCACUAGUAGAUGGACCUGCGUUGUAUUAGCUAGUUGGUAAGGUAAGAGCUUACCAAGGCGACGAUACAUAGCCGACCUGAGAGGGUGAUCGGCCACACUGGGACUGAGACACGGCCCAGACUCCUACGGGAGGCAGCAGUAGGGAAUCUUCGGCAAUGGACGAAAGUCUGACCGAGCAACGCCGCGUGAGUGAAGAAGGUUUUCGGAUCGUAAAGCUCUGUUGUAAGUCAAGAACGUGUGUGAGAGUGGAAAGUUCACACAGUGACGG
rnacentral:rRNA from 1 species